rnacentral:rRNA from 1 species
UGUCCAGGGGGCCGCCUUCGCCACCGGUAUUCCUCCAGAUCUCUACGCAUUUCACCGCUACACCUGGAAUUCUACCCCCCUCUACAAGACUCCAGCCUGCCAGUUUCGAAUGCAGUUCCCAGGUUGAGCCCGGGGAUUUCACAUCCGACUUGACAGACCGCCUGCGUGCGCUUUACGCCCAGUAAUUCCGAUUAACGCUUGCACCCUCCGUAUUACCGCGGCUGCUGGCACGGAGUUAGCCGGUGCUUCUUCUGCGGGUAACGUCAAUGAAUAAGGUUAUUAACCUCACUCCCUUCCUCCCCGCUGAAAGUACUUUACAACCCGAAGGCCUUCUUCAUACACGCGGCAUGGCUGCAUCAGGCUUGCGCCCAUUGUGCAAUAUUCCCCACUGCUGCCUCCCGUAGGAGUCUGGACCGUGUCUCAGUUCCAGUGUGGCUGGUCAUCCUCUCAGACCAGCUAGGGAUCGUCGCCUAGGUGAGCCGUUACCUCACCUACAAGCUAAUCCCAUCUGGGCACAUCCGAUGGCAAGAGGCCCGAAGGUCCCCCUCUUUGGUCUUGCGACGUUAUGCGGUAUUAGCUACCGUUUCCAGUAGUUAUCCCCCUCCAUCGGGCAGUUUCCCAGACAUUACUCACCCGUCCGCCACUCGUCACCCGAGAGCAAGCUCUCUGUGCUACCGUUCGACUUGCAUGUGUUAGGCCUGCCGCCAGC